CGCCCGCCGCGCGCGGCGGGCGGGGCGGGGGCACGGGGGGCGUACGGGAGGCAGCAGUGGGGAAUUUUGGACAAUGGGGGCAACCCUGAUCCAGCCAUUCCGCGUGAGUGAAGAAGGCCUUCGGGUUGUAAAGCUCUUUCAGCAGGAGCGAAACGGUCGUUUUUAAUACAGACGGCUAAUGACGGUACCGGCGAAAGAAGCACCGGCUAACUCCGUGCCAGCAGCCGCGGUAAUACGUAGGGUGCCAGCGUUAUUCCGAAUUAUUGGGCGUAAAGGGCGCGUAGGCGGUUAUAUAAGUCAGAUGUGAAUACCUGGGCUCAACCGAGGAAGUGCAUUUGAAACUAUAAGACUUGAGUAUGGGAGAGGGUAGUGGAAUUCCUGGUGUAGCGGUGAAAUUCGUAGAUAUCAGGAGGAACACCUGUGGCGAAAGCGGCUACCUGGACCAAUACUGACGCUGAGGCGCGAAGGCGUGGGGAGCAAACAGGAUUAGAUACCCUGGUAGUCCACGCAGUAAACGAUGAUCACUAGGUGUAGCGGGUAGUGACCCCUGUUGUGCCGCAGUUAACACAUUAAGUGAUCCGCCUGGGGAGUACGAUCGCAAGGUUAAAACUCGAAGGAAUUGACGGGG
rnacentral:rRNA from 1 species